rnacentral:rRNA from 1 species
GACGAACGCUGGCGGCGUGCCUAAUACAUGCAAGUUGAGCGCUGAAGGUUGGUACUUGUACCAACUGGAUGAGCAGCGAACGGGUGAGUAACGCGUGGGGAAUCUGCCUUUGAGCGGGGGACAACAUUUGGAAACGAAUGCUAAUACCGCAUAAAAACUUUAAACACAAGUUUUAAGAUUGAAAGAUGCAAUUGCAUCACUCAAAGAUGAUCCCGCGUUGUAUUAGCUAGUUGGUGAGGUAAAGGCCCACCAAGGCGAUGAUACAUAGCCGACCUGAGAGGGGUAUCGGCCACCUUGGGACUGAGACACGGCCCAAGCUCCCACGGGAGGCAGCAGUAGGGGAUCUUCGGCAAUGGACGGAAGUCUGACCGGGCAACGCCGCGUGAGUUGAGAAGGUUUUCGGGUCGUAAAACUCUGUUUGUAGGGAAGAACGUUGGUUGGAGUGGAAAGCUCAUCAAGUGACGGUAACUACCCAGAAAGGGACGGCUAACUACGUG